rnacentral:rRNA from 1 species
GAACGAACGCUGGCGGCAGGCCUAACACAUGCAAGUCGAGCGCCCCGCAAGGGGAGCGGCGGACGGGUGAGUAACGCGUGGGAAUAUGCCCUUUGCUACGGAAUAGUCUCGGGAAACUGGGGGUAAUACCGUAUACGCCCUUUGGGGGAAAGAUUUAUCGGCGAAGGAUUAGCCCGCGUUGGAUUAGGUAGUUGGUGGGGUAAUGGCCUACCAAGCCGACGAUCCAUAGCUGGUUUGAGAGGAUGAUCAGCCACACUGGGACUGAGACACGGCCCAGACUCCUACGGGAGGCAGCAGUGGGGAAUCUUAGACAAUGGGGGCAACCCUGAUCUAGCCAUGCCGCGUGAGUGAUGAAGGCCUUAGGGUUGUAAAGCUCUUUCAGCUGGGAAGAUAAUGACGGUACCAGCAGAAGAAGCCCUGGCUAACUCCGUG